rnacentral:rRNA from 1 species
UGGGGAAUAUUGCACAAUGGGCGCAAGCCUGAUGCAGCGACGCCGCGUGAGGGAUGGAGGCCUUCGGGUUGUAAACCUCUUUCGCCAGUGAAGCAGGCCAUCUUCUUUGUGGGGUGGUUGACGGUAGCUGGAUAAGAAGCGCCGGCUAACUACGUGCCAGCAGCCGCGGUAAUACGUAGGGCGCGAGCGUUGUCCGGAAUUAUUGGGCGUAAAGAGCUCGUAGGCGGCUGGUCGCGUCUGUCGUGAAAUCCCCUGGCUUAACAGGGGGCGUGCGGUGGGUACGGGCCGGCUUGAGUGCGGUAGGGGAGACUGGAAGUCCUGGUGUGGCGGUGGAAGACGCAGAUAUCAGGAGGAACACCGGUGGCGAAGGCGGGUCUCUAGGCCGUUACUGACGCGGAGGAGCGAAAGCGUGGGGAGCGAACAGG